UACAGAGGGUGCGAGCGUUAAUCGGAAUUACUGGGCGUAAAGCGCGCGUAGGCGGCUUUGCAAGUCGGGUGUGAAAUCCCCAAGCUUAACUUGGGAACUGCAUUCGAGACUGCAUUGCUAGAGUAUGGGAGAGGGAAGUGGAAUUUCCGGUGUAGCGGUGAAAUGCGUAGAUAUCGGAAGGAACAUCAGUGGCGAAAGCGACUUCCUGGACCAAUACUGACGCUCAUGUGCGAAAGCGUGGGGAGCAAACGGG
rnacentral:rRNA from 1 species